UACGAAGGGUGCAAACGUUGCUCGGAAUUAUUGGGCGUAAAGGGCGCGUAGGCGGCUAGAUGUGUCAAAGGUGAAAUCCCUCGGCUCAACUGAGGAACUGCCUUUGAAACUGUCUGGCUUGAGGCCGGGAGAGGGUAGCGGAAUUCCCAGUGUAGCGGUGAAACGCGUAGAUAUUGGGAGGAACACCAGUGGCGAAGGCGGCUACCUGGACCGGUUCUGACGCUGAGGCGCGAAAGCGUGGGUAGCAAACAGG
rnacentral:rRNA from 1 species